GAUGAACGCUGGCGGCGUGCCUAAUACAUGCAAGUCGAGCGAACGGACGCGACGCUUGCUUCUCUGAUGUUAGCGGCGGACGGGUGAGUCACACGUGUAUAACCUACCUAUAAUACUGGUAUAUCCUCGAGAAACCGGAUCUAAUCCCGGAUAAUCUUUUGCACCGCAUGGUUCAAAAGUGAAAGACGGUCUUGCUGUCACUUCUAGAUGGAUCCGCGCUGCAUUAGCUAGUUGGUAAGGUAACGGCUUACCAAGGCAACGAUGCAUAGCCGACCUGUGAGGGUGAUAGGCCACCCUGGAGGUGAGACACGGACCAGACUCCUACGGGAGGCAGCAGUAGGGAAUCGGCCGCAAUGGGGGAAAGCCUGACGGAGCAACGCCGAGUGAGUGAUGAAGGUGUUCGGAUCGUAAAACUGGGUUAUGAGGGAAGAACAGAUGUGUAAGGAACUGUGCACAGCUUGACGGUACCUAAUCAGAAAGCCACGGCUAACUACGUG
rnacentral:rRNA from 1 species